rnacentral:piRNA from 1 species
AGUAUUAGAGGCAAUGCCUGCCCAGUG